GAUGAACGCUGGCGGCGUGCCUAAUACAUGCAAGUCGGGCGAACAGAUAAGGAGCUUGCUCCUUUGACGUUAGCGGCGGACGGGUGAGUAACACGUGGGUAACCUACCUAUAAGACUGGGAUAACUUCGGGAAACCGGAGCUAAUACCGGAUAACAUUUGGAACCGCAUGGUUCUAAAGUGAAAGAUGGUUUUGCUAUCACUUAUAGAUGGACCCGCGCCGUAUUAGCUAGUUGGUAAGGUAACGGCUUACCAAGGCGACGAUACGUAGCCGACCUGAGAGGGUGAUCGGCCACACUGGAACUGAGACACGGUCCAGACUCCUACGGGAGGCAGCAGUAGGGAAUCUUCCGCAAUGGGCGAAAGCCUGACGGAGCAACGCCGCGUGAGUGAUGAAGGGUUUCGGCUCGUAAAACUCUGUUAUUAGGGAAGAACAAAUGUGUAAGUAACUGUGCACGUCUUGACGGUACCUAAUCAGAAAGCCACGGCUAACUACGUG
rnacentral:rRNA from 1 species